CGCAGGAACAAGAGGUAUCUUUGUCCACUGCGCAACAGAUUAUUGUUAAAUUUCUCACAAUAGAAGGUGAAAAACCGUUAAAUAUUUUGACAAAGCUUGAAGCACAGUUCGGGGAUAACAGCGUUAAGGACACUCAAGUAUACACGUGGCACAAAGAAUUUUCAGAAGCAGCAGAAAGUGCAAUUGAAGAUGAAGGUCACCCACGUGGCCUGUGGAACGACGUGACUAUCGAGCAUAUUCACAUUAUUAGCUGGCUUCUUGACUACAUACCCCGAUUAUCGGCUCUUGAAAUUUCUCGUAUCUUCGGAAUAAGUUACAACAGUGCUCGUAAAGUCAUUACUGACUACAAAUUUUUUUCUGCACUAGACUGACGACUGAUCUCUUUAGCACGUGCACUAAAAAAUGCGAUACGUUUGUCAUAGAAGCCAAUUUAAAACUUUCACUUAAAAAUGGAAUUGUAUCACUUUUUCCUCUUUUGUGCCACAAAAAGUGCAUAAUGUACCACCAAAUCACUAAAUUGUGCCUGUGUGCCACUGACCUUUAAUUGUGCCACAUGUACGAAUGUGCCAUGACUGGCAAUGUUGCACUGUGGGUCAGACAAGAAUAAGAGAGGAACCAAGGAACCUCUCUCUCUAUUCGCAUGUAAACAAUAGAAUUGUACGCCAAUGCUCAUUCCAACUUUGAUGAAAACCAAUGGAAUUUUCAGUUUAACUAUUAGAAGUCUUUGUUACUGACGAUCUUGAAUUUCGAAAAAGUGAGUAUCCGCAAAAUGGGUCCUUUGCCUUCUCACCAAAGAUCAGAAAUGUCUUGAGAUGUGCAAAUGUUGAGAGGGUCAAGGGAGAGUGUGGCAAAUAGGGAUGGGCAAUAUUCGAAAAUACAUCGAUGUUUAUAAUAUCGAUUAAUAAAAAUAAUUGAAAUGA